AACAACCUCAUCAGACAGAGGGGAUUCCUUCCAAUCAAUGAGGUAUAACAACCUCAUCAGCCGGAAGGGAUUCCUUCUGUUGAUGAGGAGGUUAUACCUCAUUGACCGGAAGGAAUCCCUUCUGGCCGAUAAGGUUGUU
rnacentral:miRNA from 1 species